GAUAAACGCUGGCGGCGUGCCUAACACAUGCAAGUCGAACGCCCUUUUGCGCAAGUGAGAGGGAGUGGCGGACGGGUGAGUAGCACGUGGGUACCUACCCCAAGAUGAGGAAUACCACCGAGAAAUCGGUGACAAGACCGCAUACCUUCGGCCACGAAGAAAGCUUCUCCUCACGAGAGGCGUCUUGGGAUGGGCCUGCGCCUGAUUAGCUGGUUGGUGAGGUAACAGCNCACCAAGGCGACGAUCAGUAGCUGGUCUGAGAGGAUGAUCAGCCACACUGGGAUUGAGAACGGCCCAGACUCCUACGGGGGGCAGCAGUGAGGAAUUUUCGUCAAUGGGGGCGAACCCUGAACGAGCAACG
rnacentral:rRNA from 1 species